rnacentral:rRNA from 1 species
GCAAGUCGAGCGAGAAAGCCCUUCGGGGUGAGUAGAGCGGCGGACGGGUGAGUAACGCGUGGGAACAUACCCUUCUCUAAGGAAUAGCCACUGGAAACGGUGAGUAAUACCUUAUACGCCCUUCGGGGGAAAGAUUUAUCGGAGAUGGAUUGGCCCGCGUUAGAUUAGAUAGUUGGUGGGGUAACGGCCUACCAAGUCUACGAUCUAUAGCUGGUUUUAGAGGAUGAUC